rnacentral:rRNA from 1 species
CCCGUUGAACUCGAUUAUCCGAGCGGAGACAUUCACCUGCGGGGCUGGCCUUCCCAUCCAAAAAAGCGAGGGCCGGCGCCGCAGGGCACUUGUCUCUCCCGCGCACGAGGACACUGCGAUCCAUUACGAAACAGCUUUCGCGUUCCACUGGGACGCGCAGGUCGCCCGACAGUUGCCCCCUGGUGCUUCCCCCGGUUGCUUGCCCCACAGUAGCGACGCUCAGUUCCGAAGGCCUGUGCCGCGAGGUGGGGCUUACUGCACGUGGUGUGCAGUCGGGCGCGUGAUGGAUUCCCACGAGUACGACGCGGUGCCUUUACACCGGCACCGCGGACCGUCGAUCGGCAGUGAAAGAAUCGAGGUACCUCCGGG